rnacentral:lncRNA from 1 species
CGGUAAUACACAAGCUUGCGAUGUGCUGCAGACAAUUGGAUUCUGCAAUGCGGCAGCUGGAGGAGACCGCGAUGCAAAAAUCUGCUGAGCCUGGACCGAGCUUGCAACUGCUGCAAGAGCAACUUGCAGCUGAGCAGGACGGGCACAGGAAGAGCAAGGUAAGGAGUCCUACACAGCUGACGUUGCAAGGUUUCUCCCAAGAGCAAAGGGGUCAUCUUCGUGUGCAUCUUGCCACCUGAUGUCAGGCGGUUCUUGGUUUCUACAGGCGAAAGUGGACCGGGUGAGGGCUGAUCUAGGGCAGCUACAACAGGCAUUGGACGCUUCAACAUCCGCGCUGACUGAUAGGGACGCCUUCUGGAAGGAGGAGUUGCUGAGGGCCCAGCGUGACCUGCAAUCAUGUCAGGC